UUUAAGUAAAUGCAGGUACCACAUAUAAUGUUUGAAUUAUAAUUAUCACUUAGUUCACAGUUUUAUGUAUAUAUAUCCAAAAUUAUCCAACUACUGCACAUGAUGCAUAAUGAUAUGAACAUUUCCUUUUGUGUGUUGAUCCUUCAAAUGUUCUCUUAUGUUUUUAUUUCUUUAUUUCUUUGUCUUGAAUGUUCCAGAGUCAGUUUUAACAGUAAUGAAAUCCUUCCUUUUAUUGUAAUACUGAAAAUCUCUGCAUUCCAAAAGUUACAUGUGACAUGGCAUGGGGUUUUCAUAUUCAGCACUGUUAUAUUUUUGUUAUAUCAUCAAGCUUUUAUCUAAUAAACAUUGAUUUCACUUUCUUUUCAUGCAUAUAUCUUAAACUGCCCCCAUAUCUGGCUACAAAUUGUCUGAUAAUUUCCUUGUGUGUGUUGAUCUUCAUAAGAAAGACGUGGUCACUCUUUUCCUCUGAUUAUUUUUUUUCAAAUUUCAGUUAGGCUAUUAUAGUUAAAACUAACAUGUAUGACACCAUUGCCUCCAAG
rnacentral:lncRNA from 1 species